CAGGGCUCAACUUACAAACUGUGAGAUCGUGACCUGAGCGAAGUCAGACUGAGCCACCCAGGUGCCCCAAGGAGGCAGAGUUUAAAUGAGUAGCAAGAGGUUGGUGAGAAGAAAAAAUAUGAAUAAUUGAAAAGGAAAGACAAACCACCAAUAGAGAGCUACACAUACUGUGACCCCGUUGAGAGAGUAAUAACAUUGGUAGUGAUACUAGUAUUAAUAAUAGGUAACAUGUAUGGAGUAUUUACUCCAUGACAUGUGUACAGUGCUAAGUGCCUUGAUCAUGUAUUUCGUUGUAUAAUAGAUAAAAGGUUCUACAGAGUCCAGUCGGGAGUUAAAGAGAGUACAGAACUUAUUCUGAGAUCACACAGCUAGGAAAUGGCAGAUCCAGGAAAUGAAUCCAGUGUGGCUAGGGACAACAGAGAUUUUUUUUUUUUUUUUUUCUUGAGUGUGUGAGUGACCUGAGACCUCAUCAAGCCUGUGAAAUGCUGUCUACCUCCAUUUCCGCAGCUUUUCCUAUGGAGCCAGCUGCUCAGACUGGAUCCUUUUCAGAGUAAAGAGGGCUCUAUUAACAUUUACCUCAGGGCAAAAGAUAUGUACCAGACUGUCCCAAGCAUAUGGUCACCUGAGUGUAGGGGUUUUAGACAAUUCUAUUUGAAGCCAAAAAGAAAAAUAAAAAGACAUAGCCUUAUUUAGAACAGAUGAUGGUAUAGUAUAAACAGAUGAUAUGGAGAAAGCAGAACUGCUUGACUCCUAUUUUGAUUAUAUCGUAUUUAUCAGGAAAAAUGAUCUUGAAAUUGCUAUGGGUAGAAUAAAGAUGGUUACGAGAAAUUAAAGCCCAGAUAGAAGAGAUAAUGAGAGCUGCUAAAAAUGCAUUUAGGUCUCCUGGGCACUGAAAGAACUUGCAGAUGUGAUUGUGGAACCACUUUAGAUAAUAUUUUGUGAAUCAAGGCAAAUAGGAUGCCAGAAGAUUGUAAAUGAUUUCAGUGAACAUGUACCAGUUUUCAAGGGCGGGGGGGAAAGCAUAGUUUAGAAACCUACAGAUGGGUGAGCUUAAGUCAGUUUCUGAUGAAAUUCUAAAAGCAAUAUUAAACAGAUGUUUGUGAAGAUAUAAAAAGGCAGCAGUGAUUACUGGGAGACACAAAGGAUUCUCUAAGAACAAGUUUGUUCCUGUUUGGAUGGGAUCAUUACUGUGACACAGGAAGAGGAUGCCAGAUAGUGAAUAUUGAUUUUAACAAGACAUUUGAGAGUCUCUUGUGACAUGGCUAACAUGGAGAAAUGUGAGGUGGGUGAUAAUACAGUUCGGUGAAUUUCUGUUUGGUGCAAGAGGGAACAACAGCCAUUUUAAAAGUAGGUGAUAAAUGGAUGACUUGACAAACUCUGGCCAAUGGGCCAGAAUGGCCCCCUGCUUGUUUUUGUAAAUAAAGUUUUAUUGGAACACAGUGAAGCCAUUCAUUUCUAUGGCUGCUUUUCUGCUAACUGGAAUGAUUGAGCAGUUGUGAUACAGAUCAUAUGGCUUACAUAGCCUAAAUAUUUGCUCUCUGGCUCUUUAUGGAAAAAAUUUGCUGGCCCUGUACAUAAUGCUGGUUUUCAGACAAGCUGCAUAUUAGAAUUGCAUAGUUUCUCAUUAAUGCCCUAGCUUGUGUUCCCCACACUCCCUAGCUGAAUAAGAAUCUCUGAGGCUAGAUCUAGCUUUUUUUUUUUUUUAAGAUUCCUGGGUGAUUGUAAUGUGUAGUCAGUCAGGCCUGGAGACCUCUGACCCAGAGGUAGGGUGCUAAUGAGAAGUGCUGCAGGGGGCCAGGAACCAUCUCAUGUUUUCUAUUAGAGCUAAUGAUAUAUAAUUAAUCUCUGGAUGACACAGAAGGGAGAGGAAGAGAUAGUUCUCUAGAUGACAGGAUAAGAAUUACAAACUUUCUGUCCCUAGGGUAACAAAAUGAUGGUGGUUAUAGUAAUAAAUGCAAGACUUUGCAUUUAUGUACUAUAUGUCCCUGUGUAAGUAUUGGGUGAUGAUUUAACAUCAUUGAAAUUCAUAUGAAAAUAACUAAGGGUUAACUGCCAACAUUAUGAUAUAACCAGGAAAACCAAAAUGAAACAAAAGUAACAAUAACAACCAAGGCAGCCUCAGCCUGUGUUAACCUAAUUAUAAUGAAAAGCAAAGAUACUAUACUCUGUUCAGGUCAGAUCACAUCUGUUAGAUCUAAGGUCCUUAUGGCUGAAAAUAUGGCUGAUUCUGCUUUCGAUUCUCCCCAGGAGUGGGACUUACAGGGCCCACCCUCCUUAAAGCAGGAUGAGCUGCCAUGGGAGGCAAGGAGGUCUCAUCUCUGGGCAGUGUUCACGGAGAGAUUGUAUGACCAUUUGGCAUGGGUUAGAAUUGAACAUAUUCUUGGUGAUUAUGUUGGGGGGUCUCCAGAGAAACAGAACCAAUAGAAUUUAUGUGUGUGUCUGUGUGUUAAUACAUUUAUAAAGAGAUUUAUUGCUCAUGUGAUUAUGGAAGCCAGUAAGCCCAAGAUCUGCAGGGUCAGUCAGCAAACUGGAGACCUAGAAGAACCAAAGAUGUUUAUUCUAGUCUGAAUCCUUAAGGCCUGUGGGCAAGAAGAGCCAAUAGUGUAAGUUCCAGUCAGAAGGCCUGCAGGUUUCAAAACCCAGGAAGAGGUGAUGUUUCAGUUCCAUCUGAAGGCAGAAAGGAGUCCUUGUCCCAGUUUGAAGGUGGUUGGGCAGAAAGAAUUCUCUCUUCCUCAGAGGAAGUCUGCUUUUGUUCUGCUUGGGCUUUCAUUGGAUUGUAGGAGGCUCACCCACACUGGAAGAGCAAUCUGCUUUACUCAGUCUACUGAUUCAAAUGCUAAUCAAUGUAGAAACACCCUCAGACACACGCAGAAGGCUGUUUCACCUAAUGUCUGUGCACCCAUAGCCUAGUCAGAGACACAUAAAAUUAGCCACUAUCACAGGGACCAUCUAAUGCAAUGUCUUCAUUUAGUGCGAGAGGAAACAGUCUCAGAGGAUGUGGCUUGCUCAAGGUGCUCCAGUGGCCAAAGCAGCUGUAGGAUUUGGGUCUCCUGCAUCCACAGACCUGUGCUUUUCUGGGCAGACUGUUCAGUACAUGUGGAUGGUGUGCCAGUGACCUCUAGGGUCCUCUCCAAUCCUCAGGGUUAAACCGACUCUGUUAAAAGAAAUGAAGAAGUGAUGCCUCGGGGUGAGAAAGCUUAACCAGAGCAGAGCACUGCAGCCAUCGGAAAGUAGUGUGCAAUUUUGAGGCGCAGACCUGCCCACGAGAUACAGAGGUGGUCAGCGCAUACCCAGGUGACAGCCACAGGCUUAUUUACUUGGAUUUUAUACAUAAACACCCUUCAGGCCUCUCUGGGAGCCCCAAGGCUAGUUAAUCUUCUAAUGCUCUGAAGAGCAGGAGGAAGAGGGAUCUGCAGGUAGGAUUUCAGGCUGGCGUGCAUAAUUAGGUGAGUGGCAGGCCACCUUGGGGAGUUCCCUGGUCCUCUCAGCAUCUGACCUCCUUGUGUAGAACCAGCAGAUAAUUGGCCAGAAAGAUGCAGGGCACCCAAAGGGAAGCUCUUCCUCUAGGAUAUUGCUCCUGACAGCCAUCAAAAUAGGCUAAGCAUCUACUGGUAUCAAAUACUAGGUCCUUCACAUCCAUUAUUUUCCUAGUUCAGAAAUGGCUCUUCAAGUUACACAUUAUUAUCCCCAUGCCACAGAUAAGAAGACUGAGCUCCAGAUGCAUUUUCUUCAUUUUGGAGGAAGAUUAUUUGAAUUGACAGCAUAGAUUCAAGCUUCUAAUGGAAUGUCCCUGCAUGUUCCACGCUGCUGGCACUGAGCCCAUCUGAUUUUAGGGAAUGAUAAUAAUGCAGUUAUUCAGAAGAUUGCUCUCAGAAUCAUCUCUCAGUUACUGUCAAACAGCAGAAUUUGAAUUCCGUGGCGACUAACAUGCUGACACCCAACACAGUUCAGGUGUUGUAUAAAUAAAGUCAACAGGCUGACUUUUCAGUAAAACAUAAUUUUUCAACUGCUGCCAAGAGGAAGAUAAUUGAUGAUAAAAGGCAAAUAGAAAUGACUUUUUGAUUACCUGUUGUUUUAGAUUACCUCAGCUUCUCUUCAUCAUUGCUACAGAGACUUAAAAGCUAUGCAAAAAGCCUCUUAGUAUAAAUUUCUCCUCUUCCACUUCCCCUCCUAUUACAUUUCCCCAUACCUUUUAAUAGAAGCCCUCCUCUUGGGGAAGUCAGGAAUUAGUUGCUUAACUUUCUAAUUAUUACAAGUGGUUAAACAAAUCACUGUAAGAGGCUUGCGUGUUGCAGGUGUCCAUGCCUAAGUAGAUAGUCAAGAGGGCUGCUGGAGAGAGUACUAGCGGGUGCUGCUGCCCCGUUCCCUCCAGGAAAUCUAAUUUAGGAUGAUAGUGGAUGGACUUAGACGGCUUUGAGGAGUGUUCUGUCUAAAUGCACAAAUAAUUAUUUUAGGCUCUAAACCAUAUGAAUUGGUAAGUGGACCCACCAAGCUCAAGGAGUCUCUAAACCCAGCUCUUGUACAUGAGUAGGCAGUUGGAAAGUUUGGUGGUAACAUGAGGCUCUUCUGGACCUGUUCUCAUCAAGAAUAUUCCUAGAAGGCAUUUCUAGGUAGUCCCCAAACAAAUUGGGCACGACAGCCCAUUGCCCUUUCCUAUACUCAUUUGUGGGGGGGGGGGGGAGAUGCGGGGAGGUAGGAGAUCUGGGUUGCUUCUGCAUUUACUUCAAAACUUCACAAUUCAAGUUUUUUCAGUUUCGUAAACCAUAAAUAGAAAUCUUACUCUUCUUGUUUCCCCAUCAUGUUAGAUUCAAGGCUGAAAUUUUAAACAGAAACUGAAUGGCAUGGCUGCUCAUCCCUGGAUUAAGGCUUUAUGGUAAAACAAACUUAAUUGAUAUAAACUACAAGACAAACAAACAUGAACAAAGCACACAAAGGAGGGAAGGAAAGGAAGACUGCAUAUAGCAAGCUUAAAACUUGGUUCCUUCCUUCUCCCCACCCGCUCCAGUCCCCUUCCUCAGUCUGUGAUUGAACAUCCUAAGGCCCCUUUGAAAAUCCAUUUGUGUUUUUGUUGAAUGCAUCUCAGGUCUUGAGGACUCACAGCCUGGAGAAGUAUUGAUUGCAUUUAAGGGUCCCAUUACUUAGGUAAACCAAAUAAUGUAACUGAUCUUGGCUCUAAUUGAUCAAAUCUCUCCCACAGUGUUGGAAAGAUUGUAAUCUAAUCACUCCAGUUCCUGGUUUCUAAGGGGAAGGUUACAUUUUGCUGAAAUUUACCCUGCUUUGGCAACCUCUCCUUAUCCGGGUUCCACUUCUUGAAACACACAGUGUAGGUUGUAGAUCUAUAAACUGGGAGGUACGGACACACACAGAUAAUCUAUGCCUGUAAAACUCCCUCAGUUUCAAUUUCAACUCUCCAUAUAAUGGUAGACAAGAAAUGUUAAGCCAUGUUAGUUUUUCCCUUUAACUUUUCACAGCUUGGUAAAGGGGAGUUGGAAGAUACUUGUACCUAAUCUGGGUCACUAUUGGCCUCUCAUUUCUCCUAAUGAGCUUUGCCUCAUCCCCAUACUUCCCAUGCUGUGUUUUCAGUUUCAGAACAUGUAAAUGCAGUGUGUUUGAAGACUGUUGUUAAAAGCUGCUGAGAUGCCGAUUUAUCCGUGGAUUGGCUUCCCUGGCUUUAACUUGUUCUUCACUAGCAGCCCCCUGCACCUUCCUGAGAGGCAUUACAUUGGCUCAGCUUGGAUUUUCCAGGUCUUUUUACUUCCUUAGUUAGGCCUGGUCUAUCCCACAGGUGAAACCCAGGGCUGAGCUGGGAGUAGACAGAAACUUAGCAAAGCAGCUUGUAUUUACCCUAACCAGCAGGAUAACCAUAUUUAAUGAAGAAUGCCAGAAUGACUGAGUUGGAAGAAAAAGGCCCUGCCAUGGAGAGAAAUCAGAAAUUUAAUUAAAAGGUAACUUCCCUAGCAUUCCUAAAGAUGCCAUAGGUUAUUGGUCUCCCUCCCUUUCUCUCUGCCCUGCUCAUGCUCUCUCUCUCUUAAAAAAAAAAAAAAAAAAAGUGUUUCUACAAAUGUAGAAACUGUGGUUAGGAACUAUAGUAACUCUCUUAAAAUUAAUAAAACAUACUCUAAA